rnacentral:rRNA from 1 species
CCUACNGGAGGCAGCAGUGGGGAAUAUUGNACAAUGGGCGCAAGCCUGANGCAGUGACGCCGCGUGAGGGAUGACGGCCUUCGGGUUGUAAACCUCUUUCAGUNGGGAAGAAGCGAAAGUGACGGUACCUGCAGAAGAAGCCCG